rnacentral:rRNA from 1 species
GACGAACGCUGGCGGCGUGCUUAACACAUGCAAGUCGAGCGGAGAGGCGAACGGGUGAGUAACGCGUGAGUAACUGCCCCCCUAUCUGGGAUAAAAGUUGGAAACGGCUGCUAAUACCGGAUAGUGGGGGAUGACUCGCGUCCUAGCAGCUUGUGUGUGGGGUAGGGGCCCACCAAGGCGACGACGGGUAGCCGGCCUGAGUGGGCGACCGGCCACAUUGGGCUGAGAUACGGCUCAAACUCCUACGGGAGGCAGCAGUGGGGAAGAUUGCACAAUGGGUGAAACCCUGAGGCAGCAACGCGCGUGCGGGAUGACGGCCUUCUGGUUGUAAACCGCUUUCAGUCAUGACUCGGUAGUGGCAGAAGAAGCACCGGCUAACUACGUGCCAGCAGCCGCGGUAUAC